UACGGAGGGGGCUAGCGUUGUUCGGAAUUACUGGGCGUAAAGCGCACGUAGGCGGCUUUGUAAGUUAGAGGUGAAAGCCCGGGGCUCAACUCCGGAAUUGCCUUUAAGACUGCAUCGCUAGAAUUGUGGAGAGGUAAGUGGAAUUCCGAGUGUAGAGGUGAAAUUCGUAGAUAUUAGGAAGAACACCAGUGGCGAAGGCGGCUCACUGGCCCGGUACUGACGCUCAUGUGCGACAGCGUGGGGAGCAAACAGGG
rnacentral:rRNA from 1 species